UCUGAUUAUCAAGAAGCUUUAUUGUCUUCAUCAGAUUGAACAUCAUCAUCUUCCUCUUCAUCAUCGUCACCAUCAUCAUCCUCCUCAUUAUAGUCAUCAUUCUCAAUAUCCUCAUCAUCUUCAUCAUCACCAUCAUCCUCCUUACCACCACCACUACCAUCAUCACCAUCUUCAUCAUCAACACCUGUGUGCUGGACGUCAGGAGGCUGUUAACAUGCAGCUGAGCCGGGCAGACAGACAGGAAGACAGACGGAUAACGGAGGAAACAGACAGACAGACAGAGGUAGGUCAGACAGAACGGACGCCAAAGGGGGGCAGAGAGGUAGACAGCUGGGCAGGUAGUCAAGUAGGGGAACAGACAGGUGGUCGUCAGGCAGAGACAGGCAGGUAGAUAUGAGGACUGUCUCAGGUAGUCACAGACAGACAGGUGGUCGUCAGGCAGAGACAGGCAGGUAGAUAUGAGGACUGUCUCAGGUAGUGGCAGACAGACAGGUGGUCGUCAGGCAGAGACAGGCAGGUAGAUAUGAGGACUGUCUCAGGUAGUGGCAGACAGACAGGUGGUCGUCAGGCAGAGACAGGCAGGUAGAUAUGAGGACUGUCUCAGGUAGUGGCAGACAGACAGGUGGUCGUCAGGCAGAGACAGGCAGGUAGAUAUGAGGACUGUCUCAGGUAGUCACAGACAGACAGGUGGUCGUCAGGCAGAGACAGGCAGGUAGAUAUGAGGACUGUCUCAGGUAGUGGCAGACAGACAGGUGGUCGUCAGGCAGAGACAGGCAGGUAGAUAUGAGGACUGUCUCAGGUAGUCGCAGACAGACAGGUGGUCGUCAGGCAGAGACAGGCAGGUAGAUAUGAGGACUGUCUCAGGUAGUGGCAGACAGACAGGUGGUCGUCAGGCAGAGACAGGCAGGUAGAUAUGAGGACUGUCUCAGGUAGUCGCAGACAGACAGGUGGUCGUCAGGCAGAGACAGGCAGGUAGAUAUGAGGACUGUCUCAGGUAGUCGCAGACAGACAGGUGGUCGUCAGGCAGAGACAGGCAGGUAGAUAUGAGGACUGUCUCAGGUAGUAGCAGACAGACAGGUGGUCGUCAGGCAGAGACAGGCAGGUAGAUAUGAG
ensembl:lncRNA